AAUACUGCUCGACUAGAAUUUUCUCAAGGGAGAUCGGAACUGAGGGAGGAGUAGUGAAAUGCGUUGAUACCCUCGGGAACACCAGUGGCGUAGGCGGAUCUCUGGGAGAAGAUUGACACUGAGACACGAAAGCUAGGGGAGCGAAGCAGAUUAGAGACCUGCGUAGUCCUAGCCGUAAACGCAUGCUUGCUAGCUGCAUGAAUCUACCUUCGGGUGGUAUCGUGUGGCGAAGGUAACCCGUUAAGCAAGCCGCCUGGAAAGUACGGCCGCAAGGCUGAAAUUCAAAGGAAUUGGCGGGGAGGCACACAACCAGUGGAACAUGUGGUUUAAUUCGAGACUAACCGAAGAACCUCACCAGGGUUUGACAUGUAGCUGCACGUCUUAAGAAAUUAAGACUCUCUUGAAGGUGCUACACAGGUGCUGCAUGGCUGUCGUCAGCUCGUUCCGUGAGGAGUGCCCUUAAGUGGGACAACGAGCGCAACCCCUAUUACAUGUUAGAAAUGUCAUGUAAGACUGCCUUGUCAUUUGGCGGGGAGGAAGGAGGGGCAGACGUCAAGUCCGCAUGGUCCUUAUGCCCUGGGCUACACACAUGUUACAAUGAGUACGGCAAUGAGUCUGUCGCGAGCACGUAAGUGUAAGCUAAUCUCUUAAAUGUACUCUCAGUGGGGAUUGAGGUCUGCAACUCGACCUCA
rnacentral:rRNA from 1 species